AAAUUAGAAAUUUAACCGUAGACAGCGGGUGUCUGAGGACUUAAUUUCCCGCCGAGGUACAAUAUAUAGAUAUUGACCCUGUCUACCGGCAGGGUUGUUUUAU
rnacentral:sRNA from 1 species